rnacentral:rRNA from 1 species
UUUAAAUGGCCCCCGUAUACUAACUGUGCAAAGGUAGCAUAAUCAUUAGUCUUUUAAUUGAAGGCUGGUAUGAAUGGUUGGACGAGAUAUUAACUGUUUCAUAAAAAUUUAUAAUAGAAUUUUAUUUUUUAGUCAAAAAGCUAAAAUAUAUUUAAAAGACGAGAAGACCCUAUAAAUCUUUAUAUUUAAAUUAUUAUAAUUUUAUAGAUUUAUUUUGUUAUAAUAGUUGAUAAUAUUUUAUUGGGGUGAUAUUAAAAUUUAAUAAACUUUUAAUUGUUUAAAUCAUUAAUUUAUGAAUAAUUGAUCCGUUAUUAGCGAUUAAAAAAAUAAGUUACUUUAGGGAUAACAG